ensembl:lncRNA
GGCACCUCUCACGGGGGCCCUGCCACAGGGCCCCACGGGCAGCGGAGGCCACCCUGGGCCUCACUCCCGCAACGUUCCAGCCUCGUCUGUGUGACCCGACACCGCGGCGCUCCUGGGGGUUGCGCUCGCCCACCGCGGGGCUGCACCCCAGCCAGCUGGAGCGCCUCGGCCUCCAGGUGGAAGAAAGAGCCUGCCAACAGCCACAGAUGUACCCAUGGCUUUUUCGAUGGCUUAUAGCUCGGGGCUCCUUCCCGUCCAGAACAAAGGGGCCUGGAGCAGCACCCCACCGCCAAGAGAGCCGGGAGUCAGAGCAGGGCAGCCAGGGAGGAAGGAGGCUGCUCUUUACGGGGAAGUGACGUCAGCCGGGCUCAUCAGCUCCCAAGGAACCGGCAGCUGGGCACCCCCCGGAACAGCCCUCGGGCUGAGGGCCCUCGCGAGGGCAGGAAAUAUCUCGAAAGGACUGCUCAUAAGGACCGCACCUGGGCUGGCGGCCAGCAGGAGCUGCGGGGCGAGAGGAUAUGGAAAGUUGCUGAAGGGUCCAGGCUCCUGCUCGGGAGGGCGGAGAACGCUAGACGUGAAGUGGUGGUUGAACAACACCGUGAAGGCGAGUAAUGCCUACACCGGGUUAAAAGGGCACAUUUGGUGUGCGUGUGUUUUAGCGCAAUAAGAAGACAUAUACAGCAUUAAAGGCAACUCUCACUUCGUGUGUAUAUACUGGCCACACCCUCAACAUAGGGAAGCUUCCAGGCCGGGGAUGGAGUCCGAGGCGCCGUGCAAACGACGCCACAGCGGCAGCAACGCCAGACCCUUAAGCCACCGCGGUGGGCAAGGGAUCAAACCUGCGCCGCCACAGAGACAUCCUAGGACCCGUAACCCGUUGUCCUGGAGCCGGGACCCGUGACGUUUUAAAAACUGAGAUGCAAGUCACACACCGUGAAACGACGCUUCGAAGUGUCGAACCGGCAGGUUUCAGUACCUUCCGCAGCGGCGCCGCCGUCCUGCUCGGACUCCAGAACAUUCAACCUCACCAGAAACCCACCCGCGCUGGUGGCUCUUCCCGCCCACCCCGCAGCCCCGGGCAAAUGCUGCAUCCGCUGGUUUCCAGGGGCGCUGCUUCCGGCCGUGUCUCAUAAGUGGAAUCUGCAACAUGUGGCCUUUGGUGUCUGGUUUCUCCCAUUUAAACAUGAGGUUUUCAAAGGUCACCCGUGCUGUAGCGUCAAUGGGACUUCAAACUGUUUGCCACGGCGGCCGAACCCACGUGCAUUCCUGCCAGCAAAGUAUGAGGAUUCCGAGGUCUCCAGAUCCUUUUGCCCAAACCUGUUUUCCAUUAAAAAAUACAGCCGUCCUCGUGGGUUUCCGAGUCACAUUUUCCCUGAGCACCUAGCACGCUGAGCGUCUCUGCAUGUGUUUGCUGGUCCUUUUACAUCUUCAGGAAAAUGUCUACUUGAGAACUUUACCCCUUCUUUUUUUGCCUUUAAAAGUUUCAUUGGGAGUUCCCGUCGUGGCGCAGGUGAACGAAUCCGACUAGGAACCAUGCGGUUGCGGGUUUGAUCCCUGCCCUUGCUCAGUGGGUUAAGGAUCCGGCGUUGCCGUGAGCCGUGGUGUAAGUUGCAGACGCGGCUUGGAUCCCACGUUGCUGUGGCUCUGGCGUAGGCUGGUGGCUACAG